ACACGAAGGUGAGUCCAGAGAUACAAUCACCAUCACAUUUUACAUCAUAGAGAAUUACAUUACAAGAGUUUCUAAAAAGAAGUAUGAAGUUUCAAAUUUAGAGAAAAGAUUACAAACCAUUAAAGCUAUGGUUUUUGGCAGCGAAAAACAUACGCGACGAUUACAACACGUCGACAAGACGGAUGUCAUGCUAAGCCCGGGCACGACAUCACUCGGUAUCAUCAAUGUUGGCCGAGGACGGGUCCUAUUCCACGGACCAAUCUUCUGGAAGAGCACAGGGCCAAGAUAGGGGAAAAGUAGGAUCUUCAAAGGCUUUGCCUGAAAAACAUAAAACUAGCAAGGCUGAGUAUACUAAUACUCAGCAAGGCUUACCCGGGAUUGGGUAUACUUUAGCCCAUAACUAGACUUAUGAAGGCAUUGUAAAGGCUUUGGGUUUAUUUUCAGCUGAAAAGCAACAAAGAGUAUGAACUAUUUUCAAGUUUUAGCUUUCAGAUUCUAGCUUGAUUAGCCAUUCUAGGUUAGCACCUAUACUAAACAAGCAUGAUUGAUAUUAUCAUUCACCAAGAUUAUCUCAUUAACAGUUACACUUCUUACUCAAUGUGGUAAAAGGGAUAAGCAGUCUCAAGCAUCGUGAGAGGCGGACGAUUCGAAUCGAAUUUUUAACCUUGCAAGGUAAACCUAACACACACGCUUGGGAUUACCGGCAGGGCUUUCCAAAGCAACCGUUUACCUUUCAUUCCGACUCGUGGGCAGGCCACCACAAGCGACUUGCAGGACCGUACGCACAUCACUCGUGCAGGACAUACGUCAGUAGCGCGACUACAAAACCCGUAUUCCUGUCUGCCAUGCAGAACGUACUCCCACAGGUCGGUGCGUGAAAAGAACCAAAUAGAUCGAGUGGUGGAAAUAUACCCACUUGCCGGGCCGAUCGGUUACUAGGCUUACCGCUUUACCAUAUUUCGCGGCAUGUGGCUAGUACUGUUCAAACGCUUAGCCACCACUACCAUACAUUUCGGCCUUAAAACUUUUAUCAAAACAGACAGGGUAAACUUCCAGGUCAUGAUACAACACAUGACCCUGUCCGUCAUCCUUAUAGUGAUUGCAGUAUUGUAAACAGGCAACUCCUAUAUCGCGCGAGUGACAGGAAAUCACCCGACUUCUACCGGUCCUAUUUAGCAGAGCGUCUAAACGAUAAGGACUCGGGAGCAUUACAUUGGAUUCCUAGGAUUCAUGCAUCUAGGGUUUCACUUCAAUUCCUAGACUUAAUGCAAGAUAUAAUAUAGAUAGAUAUAGAUUACAGAGUAAAUAAAGUAAUGGGAUAUGUCCGGGGCUUGCCUUUACUGGUGAGGCUGGGGUUAGUCAAGUUAAUAACGUCC
rnacentral:lncRNA from 1 species